UAAGGUGGUUAUAGCGACGGGGCUCACCUCUUACCAUUCCGAACAGAGUAGUUAAGCCCGUUUGCGCCGAUGGUACUGCUUUACUGUGGAAGAGUAGGUCACCGCCUUUUUUGAAAACCCUUACUAAUUACUAGUAAGGGUUUUUUGUUUUUAA
rnacentral:rRNA from 1 species